rnacentral:rRNA from 1 species
UACGGAGGGUCCAAGCGUUAUCCGGAAUCAUUGGGUUUAAAGGGUCCGUAGGCGGUUUUGUAAGUCAGUGGUGAAAGCCCAUCGCUCAACGGUGGAACGGCCAUUGAUACUGCAAGACUUGAAUUAUUGGGAAGUAACUAGAAUAUGUAGUGUAGCGGUGAAAUGCUUAGAGAUUACACGGAAUACCAAUUGCGAAGGCAGGUUACUACCAAUAUAUUGACGCUGAUGGACGAAAGCGUGGGGAGCGAACAGG